CAGAGACCUCAAGCGUUAUCCGGAAUCAUUGGGCGUAAAGCGUACCGAUAGGUGGUCAUGGUAGUUUUGGGUAAAAGCCAGAAGCUCAACUUCUGCGUUUGCUCAAAAUACUCCACGACUAGAGGAACAAAGAGGUGGCUGGAACGAACGGUGUAGUAGUGAAAUGCGUUGAUAUCGUUCGGAACACCGAAAGCGAAGGCAGGCCACUGGGUGUUACCUGACACUGCUAGGACGAAAGCGUGGGGAGCGAAUGGGAUUAGAUACCCCAGUAGUCCACGCUGUAAACGAUGAGUGCUAGGUAUUUGCGAGUAUCGACCCUCGUAUGUACCGUAGCUAACGCGUUAAGCACUCCGCCUGGGGAGUACGGUCGCAAGACUA
rnacentral:rRNA from 1 species